rnacentral:rRNA from 1 species
UACGGAGGAUGCAAGCGUUAUCCGGAAUCAUUGGGCGUAAAGAGCGUGUAGGCGGCCCGAUAAGUCCGCCGUGAAAGUCCAGGGCUCAACCCUGGAAUGCCGGUGGAAACUGUCGGGCUGGAGUCCGGAAGAGGCGAGUGGAAUUCCUGGUGUAGCGGUGAAAUGCGCAGAUAUCAGGAGGAACACCAAUUGCGAAGGCAGCUCGCUGGGACGUUACUGACGCUGAGACGCGAAAGCGUGGGGAGCAAACAGG